UCCUACGGGAGGCAGCAGUGGGGAAUAUUGCACAAUGGGGGAAACCCUGAUGCAGCAACGCCGCGUGAGUGAUGAAGGCUUUCGGGUCGUAAAACUCUGUUGUUAGGGAAGAACAAGUGCUAGUUGAAUAAGCUGGCACCUUGACGGUACCUAACCAGAAAGCCACGGCUAACUACGUGCCAGCAGCCGCGGUAAUACGUAGGUGGCAAGCGUUAUCCGGAAUUAUUGGGCGUAAAGCGCGCGCAGGUGGUUUCUUAAGUCUGAUGUGAAAGCCCACGGCUCAACCGUGGAGGGUCAUUGGAAACUGGGAGACUUGAGUGCAGAAGAGGAAAGUGGAAUUCCAUGUGUAGCGGUGAAAUGCGUAGAGAUAUGGAGGAACACCAGUGGCGAAGGCGACUUUCUGGUCUGUAACUGACACUGAGGCGCGAAAGCGUGGGGAGCAAACAGGAUUAGAUACCCUGGUAGUCCACGCCGUAAACGAUGAGUGCUAAGUGUUAGAGGGUUUCCGCCCUUUAGUGCUGAAGUUAACGCAUUAAGCACUCCGCCUGGGGAGUACGGCCGCAAGGCUGAAACUCAAAGGAAUUGACGGA
rnacentral:rRNA from 1 species